rnacentral:misc_RNA from 1 species
AACUGAUACUACCUGCGGGAACCUGCGGAAGGAUCAUUAAAGAAAUUUUGUCAAGUUGUUGCUGGCCUCCAGAGGCAUUGUGCACACUUGACUUAAUUCUAUUACCACCUGUGCACCUUUUGUAGGCUUUGGAUAUCUGUCGGGUUUUUCUAAACUCGGAUUUUGAGGAUUGCUGGUUUAUCUAGCUUUUCUUUCACAUCCAAGUCUAUGUUUUCAUAUAUACACUUGGCAAUUGAAAAU